AUCUAAUUUCAUUGACAACCUGGUCUGGUGACGAUACUUUCCUUUAUUUAAAAAAAUAAAAUAAAAAUAAAACAUUUUCUUGAACAAAAAAGAAGCUAAAAUAAAAUAAAAACAGUUACAUAGAAAGUUGUAAUUAAUGAAAAUUAGUAAAAUUAGUACUAUUAGUGGACCAGACACACACACACAAUCCUGUGUGCUUCACGGACUGUAUCCCUUGCAGACUGCAUUGAUGUAUAUUGUAGGAACCAGAAUAUUAAUAACAGAAGGAAAAAACCCUUUUGGGUGAAUGAGUGAGAAAGAGUGUAAGUGUAUCUUGUGUUUUUUAUGUUGAUUUAAUUAAAAAAAAAAAAAAAAAAAGCACGUUUCCCUUAAGUAUGUUAAAAAUAUAUAAUAUUAAUAAUGACAGAGAUAUUUGUGUAAAAAAAAAGAAAGAAAUGAAGAUAACUAUAAAUAUUGACGUCAUCGCGAUGUCGUCGAACCAAUAGUGACGCAAUCGUUGAUAUCCCUACAGUCGACAGUUGUAUUGGUUCAGACCAUUAAGUUCCGGGAGUCGUUCCGUACACAAGUGGCACCAAAAUGAGACAUUUGCAUACUUCUAUGAUCGCGUCUGUGUCUCUUUGCGCUCUUUACGUCGUGUACGUACAAAUCCACCGUUCUCAUAAACUACUUAAAACAAAGACGCUCAGCUGCGAGAAACUUCCGAGUGUCGUGUAUCUUUUUCUGAGAUAUGUGAGCCGCGCACUUACUCGGAGAAAAGGCUGCUUGCACGACAAGAAGGAAUGCAAGCAAGAAGUAUUUUAUACUGUCAACAACUGCAGGCUGGACGUGCUGCUUUUGAGGAGGUUCUGCAAGGCCACGGGAUAUGGUUGGGACUACCCAGACAGUCAAUACAGAGACAUCCCUCUCUGUUUCCCCGUCUUUAUGUGCCAUAAACUGAUGAUUAUGGCCAUUACUGAUGACAACUUCCUGUUGAGCCCAGUUGGUCUGCGUUGUGUGCGUCAGAGCAUCAGAACCCAGCAACCAGUGGAUGAGCUGAAAAAAGGUCCUUUUAUGCUCCAAGUUCAAGUCCUGCUGUACAGACCCGUUGAUGCAGGCGUGGAAGUGGAUGUCUGUCUGUCGGCUUUUUCACGACACAACAGUCUUGUGUGGGAGAGCGUCGUCACACUGCUGUCCCAAACCAAGGUGCCACGGGCCGUCAAAGGUGCAGCCCAGAAGGAAUAUGAGGGUGAAGGUCAUGAAGUCGUGCUCGCGGAUGCAAAGCAAGUGGAUCUCAGAGUUCCACUGAGCACAGGCCCGCCGUGUCCGUGGUCCUUCUUUGACUGUUGGGUCGUCUUUCUGCCAGCUUCCCUCUUUGGCUUAAAUCUGCGUCCCGUUUCGAGUCUGUGGAUGUUGUCUGUCUGCCUGGCGGAAGUAGAGAAGCACAAUGGGGUUGGAGACGUCACAUCUCCAGUCAACGUCGCGGUCCAGUGGAAGGACCCUUUGCUGGCUCCGAGCAGAGUGGAACUUUUGUUUUGGAAGUGUCCAACACAAGACCUCGUCUUUCAAAUGCGGCAACACAGCGGUCGCAGCAAGUGUCACUUAAUGGGAAAGAUAUCAAGGACUUAACAAGAAUGAGUGCACCAUGUGACUUCCUGCCGGCACCACCCUCUGUAAGGAGUCAUCGUUGGAUGACGUGAGAGCGGGCGCUGAGCACGUCAGAUUCCCAAGCCAGGAACACGAACAUCCAUUAUUCGUACUGCAGACCAGCGAGACACCGUAUUGUCCCUCUUUGGCCAUGUGACUUUUUGAUUACUCGACUUGGCUCAAGUGGAAAGUACAUGAAGACUCACGCACAGGAGGAGACUCCCUCACCCCCAGCAGGGGGCAGCACUGUGCAAGUGUGCCAUGAUUACCAGAAGGUGGCGUUGAAUAUGCAGCCUGCAUCAUGCAUGGAGCAGAAGUUCAGCACGAGGGAAGACGGCGCUCAAAGGAGCUCCUUGUGGACCUUGGAUUCAAGCUCGCAGGCCUUUUCAGGUCCAGAGGACACCUCCACAGAUCCACAAUGGACCCGGACCGAGACUUCCACUCUGACUUUUGUUGACAGUCACGCCAUGGAGGAGUCGGGAGAGAAUCCCAGCCUGCCUGAUCUGACGAGGCUUUACCUGAAAGACUUGGUGCUGAUAGAUGACGACGAUGACGGCGACAUGUCCCUGAGGGAGAAAACCGUCAACAACGUGUCCGUCAUGGACGGGAGAGCUGCAGACCUGGUCCGUGGCAGACUGCCUUCCACUUCUAGCCGCUCAGUGACCGAGUGCCAGAAUGAGUCUUGUGCGCCCAAAGUGUCUUCUCCUCAGCAGCACCAGUCUUCACGUGGAGACCAGCAAUGCUGCACCUGCAUCGUCCUCUGACCAUCAGUGUUGCAAUUGUGGUGUAUUUGUGAUGAGCCAAGAAGACGCCAACCAGGAAUCGUCGAACAAAACGCUUUAUUUGUUUCAACGAGCCUCAGACUGGAACUGCAGCUUCCAGGAGAAAGAGUAUGGGCCUAAAUUAAAGUACCAAUGAUUGUCACACACACACACUAGGUGUGGCGAAAUGAUUCUCUGCAUUUGACCCAUCACCCUUGAUCACCGCCUGGGAGGUGAGGGGAGCAGUGAGCAGCAGCGGUGGCUGCGUUCGGGAAUCAUUUUUGAUGAUUCAACCCCCAAUUCCAACCCUUGAAGCGGGGAGGUAAUGAGUCCCAUUUUUAUAGUCCUUGGUAUGACUCGGCCGGGGUUUGAACUCACGACCUACCGAUCUCAGGGCGGAGACUCUAACCACAAGACCACUGAGCAGGUUUUACACGAAGACCCACACUCUUCGUAACUCUAGCCUUGGAGCCGGCCAGUCUGGACAAAGCCCAAUGUGUUGCUCGGCCAGUCAAUCUAUUUCCCCGGAUCGGUUUGAGUCGAGCGACCUCCCACCCCUAUCCUCUACUCCUACUUGUGAGGGCUUCUUACCAGAUGUUGCUAAUGUCUUUACACUUCCUCCUAAAAUCAAAACCUGCAUUCCUGUAGGAUUCCAAUUUCCUGGGGGCGAGCGCCACCACUCUUUGGAGAGCUUGUGAUGGACAUGUGCACUUUUGAAGCUACCUAAGGACAUAUUUCCUAAGUAGAAUAAUCCUCUGAAGGAUUCUUUGACCAAAU